CUUGAAACAAUGACGGGGACUAGUAAAAUGAAGGCGUCUUACCAAGAGAGGAAACCAUUUGCUGGAAGGUUUCUUAAGAUGGUCAUUUGAACCUGCCUCACGAGUUCUGUAUCGGAUUUUUUGAAGAUACACGCGGAUCAAUUCCGUUAUCAUGUUGAGUGUAUAAAGCAUUUGCUUUAUGAAUUUAGGGUGGUACCGCCAAGGCCUUGGUCCCUUUU
rnacentral:ncRNA from 1 species